rnacentral:rRNA from 1 species
CCUACGGGAGGCAGCAGUGAGGAAUCUUGCCCAAUGGGGGAAACCCUGAGGCAGCGACACCGCGUGCGGGAGGAAGGCCUUCGGGUCGUAAACCGCUUUUCUGGAGGACGAGGAAGGACGGUACUCCAGGAAUAAGUCCCGGCUAACUACGUGCCAGCAGCCGCGGUAAAACGUAGGGGGCGAGCGUUAUCCGGAAUUACUGGGCGUAAAGGGCGUCUAGGCGGCGGCGUAAGUCCCAUGUGAAAGCUCCCGGCUCAACUGGGAGAGGGCGUGGGAAACUGCGCAGCUCGAGACUCGGAGAGGGGUGUGGAAUUCCCGGUGGAGUGGUGAAAUGCGUUGAGAUCGGGAGGAACACCAGUAGCGAAGGCGGCACCCUGGCCGAGAUCUGACGCUGAAGCGCGACAGCGUGGGGAGCGAACGGGAUUAGAUACCCCGGUAGUCCACGCCGUAAACGAUGACAACUAGGUGUUGGGUGUCCAAGGACGUUCAGUACCGCAGCUAACGCGAUAAGUUGUCCGCCUGGGGAGUACGGCCGCAAGGCUAAAACUCAAAGGAAUUGACGG